rnacentral:rRNA from 1 species
UACGGAGGGUGCAAGCGUUGUCCGGAUUUAUUGGGCGUAAAGAGCUCGUAGGCGGUCUGUCGCGUCGGCUGUGAAAUCCCGGAGCUCAACUCCGGGCCUGCAGUCGAUACGGGCAGACUGGAGUUCGGCAGGGGAGACUGGAAUUCCUGGUGUAGCGGUGAAAUGCGCAGAUAUCAGGAGGAACACCGGUGGCGAAGGCGGGUCUCUGGGCCGAUACUGACGCUGAGGAGCGAAAGCGUGGGGAGCGAACAGG